rnacentral:ribozyme from 1 species
GCUGCUCAAAGGUGCUGCCUCUUCGUGGCGAGCAGCAGGCAACGGAGCAAGUAAUCCAGCAGAAGCACAA